rnacentral:rRNA from 1 species
AGAUGCGAUCAUACCAGCACUAAAGCACCGGAUCCCAUCAAAACUCCGAAGUUAAGCGUGCUUCGGCGAGAGUAGUACUAGGAUGGGUGACCUCCUGGGAAGUCCUCGUGUUGCAUUCC